ACAUCAUGGUUGGGGCAUUGAAAAAGCUUUCCAUUAAAUCUCUCCCACACCUCAUAUAAAGGCUCUCCGAUUAGUUAAUGAAAAUUUGUUAUAUCAACUCUCAAUUU
rfam:Capsicum annuum cultivar Zunla-1 chromosome 12, whole genome shotgun sequence